AUACGUAGGUGACAAGCGUUAUCCGGAUUUACUGGGCGUAAAGGGCGUGUAGGCGGUCUUGCAAGUCAGAAGUGAAAUUCCUGAGCUCAACUCGGGCGCUGCUUCUGAAACUGCAGGACUUGAGUGCUGGAGGGGAUAGCGGAAUUCCUAGUGGAGCGGUAAAAUGCGCAGAUAUUAGGAAGAACACCGGUGGCGAAGGCGGCUAUCUGGACAGUAACUGACGCUGAGGCGCGAAAGCGUGGGGAGCAAACAGGAUUGAUACCCUGGUAGUCCACACUGUAAACGAUGAAUGCUAGGUGUAGGGGGUAUCGACCCCUUCUGUGCCGCAGUUAACACAAUAAGUAUUCCGCCUGGGGAGUACGGCCGCAAGGUUGAAACUUAAAGGAAUUGACGGGG
rnacentral:rRNA from 1 species